CCUACGGGAGGCAGCAGUGAGGAAUAUUGGUCAAUGGGCGGGAGCCUGAACCAGCCAAGUCGCGUGAGGGAAGACGGUCCUAUGGAUUGUAAACCUCUUUAGGCGGGGAGCAAUGCCGGGCACGCGUGCCCGGAGGGAGAGUACCCGCAGAAUAAGCAUCGGCUAACUCCGUGCCAGCAGCCGCGGUAAUACGUAGGGGGCGAGCGUUAUCCGGAUUCAUUGGGCGUAAAGCGCGCGUAGGCGGCCUGUUAGGUCGGGGGUAAAGUACCGGGGCUCAACCCCGGUCCGCCCCCGAUACCGGCAGGCUUGAGUCUGGUAGGGGAAGGCGGAAUUCCCAGUGUAGCGGUGGAAUGCGCAGAUAUUGGGAAGAACACCGGCGGCGAAGGCGGCCUUCUGGGCCACGACUGACGCUGAGGCGCGAAAGCUAGGGGAGCGAACAGGAUUAGAUACCCCAGUAGUC
rnacentral:rRNA from 1 species